AAAUACCCUAGCAGCCUCCGAGUCUUGAGUGUUGCACUCUGCCUUUCUCCCUCUCUAACUCUUCAAGGUCAUUUUGUUAUCCUUAAUUGUUCAAUAUGGAACUACUAAUUGGUUUUUGUAUGUUGAGGAUUUUGUUGAUCGCUCUUAAUUUUUAACUGCAAUUUUUUUUUGUUUUUUUUUUCUCUCUCACAUUCACUACUUGGAACUAUAUCCCUGUGACGAGUUAAUUAUUUAAGUUAAAAGUAGUAUGAAAUCUCUUUGAUGUAAAUAUAUUUUCUGAGGGAUUAGUAUGUUUCGUUAACCUCUUGCAAUUUGAUUUUUUCCUCUUUCUUCUCAAGAAAUUAAAAAAAUAUAUCCAGUGGGAUUUGGUGAAUUAAUUAUUAUUACACCUCGGGUUCUUCAUGUUUCCUUGCCUAUUGCAUAUCAAUUUUUUUACUCUUAUGAUUUUAUUCUCUGAAACCCUUAAAUUUGUUUUUAUUUUUCAUCUCAGUGAAGAUUAGAGUAUGAUUUUAAAAGUAGUGGACAGAAUUCCAUUGUUGAUUAUCAUCAUUCUGAGAGAUUUGCUAAAUGUUAUUUAUUUGCCAUAUUAUUCGUCUUUUAUUCAUUUAUAUUGAACUGUCGAUUGUAGUUUUGAAUCUCAAUGACGAUUGGUAUAUAAAUUAAAUUAGUGGACUGACUUCCAUUGAUGAUUACAACCAUUCUGAGAGAUUUGCAAUUUCGUUGAGGGGUUCACUUAUUUUUUACCAUUCUGAGCUUGUGCAAAAAAAAAAAAAAAGAACUAUUGGAUGCGUUAGCGUUUUCUCAGAAAAAAUAUUUUAUUAUUUUCGUUAGCUUGAACCUUUGGAUGCCAAUGACUUAGUUUCUAAUUAUCACACAAGCUAAUGGAAUGUGCACUUCAACGUCAAUUCUUUUUUUUUUUUUCCUGAAUUGAGUUGAUUAUUUAGCUUCCGAAAGUAAAAUACUAACCUAAAAUAAAGCAGGCAAGAGCCCACUAUUUGCAUUACGUGGAAUCAAAUCUAUAUAUACAUUAGGUAAUUCAUGAGGAUAAAGCAGUAGCUUUUAAAGGCAAUCCAAGAUUUGUCAGUGUGGGCAUGCUUUUCGGAUGCUCCCCUGCACCGGGUUUUUACAAUCAAUGAAGAGAUGAAACUUUUAGAUUCGAAGCCUUUGGCAAGUCGUCAUCCCAUGAAAGCAGAGCCAGCAGACUUUGCUCGAAAGCAUUUUGCGGCAGCUGCCUCGACAUAAUAGAGACCAUCCGAAUGAUCACUGAGGCACGCGACGGAGGAAAUGGUGGAAAUGACCACAUCUGGAAAGCAUUGUAAGAGGUCAAAAUACUUGUGAUUUUUCUAUGCGGAUCAAAUGGAUUCAAACGUAAAGGAAAAACAUUUUUUUAUUUAUGGAAAUCUUCUUGUUGUUUCAACAACUCAUCUUUUCUGCAGGAACAAUUCAGACCUAUGUGACCUCAACUUCUCAACACAUGAGAAAUAGAUUAGAAAUUUUCAGAAUAAAAAAAUUGGUCAUUUUGUUCUAAUUUCCCACUUCUGUGGAAUGAAAUGUCAUAUUUGACCUAAAUGUUUUACCUUAAUGAACUUUCUUCAAAAAAAAUUAAUUUAAUCAUCAUGCUAAUAUGAGACAAAUGCUCUUGAAGAAAAUGAUUCCACCUAAGAAACUUUGGGUGAAGAAAAAUUAAUUCAAAUGUCUUGCGUCCUUUACUUGUUUUAGUGUGCUUCUAACUCUUGGUUUUUUUAUAGUGAUUGUUCUAGGCAUAUGACGGGUAACAAAAACUCAUUGGCUUCGAGACUUUGAAAAAUUGGGAAACCACAUUUGGAGAUAGUAAGUCUUGUAAGGUAUUUGGUAGUGGCACUCUAUAUUCUAAAGGACAACCAAAGUUGCAAAAUGUUCAUUUGGUUGAUGAACAUAAAACUAUUUAGUAUAAUUCAAAUUUGUGAUCAAGACUUGUUUGUAAAUUUUUCUUAUGAUAAUUGUUUUGUACUUGACCAAGAUGGAAAAUGAGUUUUGAAGGGUUAUAUAAAUUUGUUGAUAAUUGUUACACAUUAUACUAAUUUGUGUCAUGACAAACAUGGUCAUGUGAAUUUUGAAAAUUUGAGAAAAAUUGUAAGUGUGAGUUAUGUUCAUGAUUUACUGAAUUUAAGUAAAUAUUCUUUUGGUAAA